rnacentral:rRNA from 1 species
GCCAUGCCGCGUGUGUGAAGAAGGCCUUCGGGUUGUAAAGCACUUUCAGCGGGGAGGAAGGCGNUGAGGUUAAUAACCUCAUCGAUUGACGUUACCCGCAGAAGAAGCACCGGCUAACUCCGUGCCAGCAGCCGCGGUAAU